rnacentral:rRNA from 1 species
ACACGGCUGGCGGCGUGGAUUAGGCAUGCAAGUCGAACGGUAGGAUACCUUCGGGUAUCUGAGAGUGGCGAACGGGUGAGUAACACGUAGGUGAUCUACCCUCAAGAUUGGGACAACCCAGGGAAACUUGGGCUAAUACCGGAUGAAAGCAGCAGUGAUGUUGUUUGAAAGGUGGCGUAAGCUGCCGUUUGGGGAUGAGCCUGCGCUCUAUUAGUUAGUUGGCGGGGUAAAGGCCCACCAAGGCGAUGAUAGAUAGGCGGCCUUAACGGGUGGUCGCCCACACUGAGAUUGAGAUACGGCCCAGACUCCUACGGGAGGCAGCAGUCGAGAAUAGUCUACAAUGGCCGAAAGGCUGAUAGUGCGACGCCGCGUGAACGAAGAAGCCCUUCGGGGUGUAAAGUUCUUUUAUAUGUGAGCAGUGCUUUCUAUGUGAACAGCAUGGGGAGAGAGAUAUUAGCAUAUGAAUAAGCAUCGGCUAACUCCGUG